rnacentral:tRNA from 1 species
GUCGGGAUAGCUCAGCUGGUAGAGCGGAGACUGAAAUCUC